AUGCACUCGGGAACUCUGGAGAGAGUGAACACACCGAGGAAACGGUCUUUAUCUCGGGGAAUGAGUGAGGAUGAGUCACUUCGACACAUAAUAAAAGAGGCAGAGAGCUCUGCCAGACGCCUGUCACGCGCAGAUAGUCGGGUGGGCUCUAUCAAGAAGCUGGACAGAGGAGAAAGUCAGAGUGAAGAGGACUUGGUUACAAGGAUUCCUGAAAUGCUGGACCUCCAGGAGGCGUACAAUGAAGCGAUGCAGGAUGUUCGACAACUGGAGCUCCAUCGAGAGGUGCUGAUUUUUCAGGUUGGCUGCCUGCAGGAUGCCCUCGAAGGGGCGGAAGAGAUGCUUGCCGAAGCACAAAGGGAAGCCAGCGACGCUAAUUUGGAGCUGGAGCGAGAGAGGCUGGCGAAGAGAAACCUGGAAGUCAAAGUGGACUCACUCAUGCAGGAGUUGGAGAAACUAAGACAGGAGAGGAUGACCAUAUCAACAGUCCCUGUUGACAUCCAAGUCAGGAAUUCAGAACAGGAAAGCAACGUUGAUGUGACAGAUGAGGGGAUGAGGGAAGAGGGUGAUAGCAGAGGGCCUUUGACUCUAAAUGAGGAUCUGAAGAAUAGGAUAUCUGCAGAAGAAGCUCUGCUCUCCAUUGUACACCUGGAUAAUACCCCAAGUCCCUCAAGCCUUAUACCUGUAGAAGGAGUAAAUGAGACUCCAGAGAAGAUGUCAUCAAAGAAAGCUCCUGAUGGUGUGUUCAGUUCCUUCCUCAGGAAACGAAACGAAGAACAGUCCCCAAUGGAAGAAAGCAGUUCACACCCACCUCCACUUGGCUCAUCUCAUCUGGAGUCAUCUGUGGACUCAGAGGAGGCUGACAAUGAAAAGGAGAGUAAAAAUGCUGAAGAAACAAAGGUGAACAUUGAAAGCCCACUUGCUAAAUUUCAGAGAAUAGUCAACAAGACCUUUGCUCAGAUGUCUUCUUUAGCUAUUACUACCAGCCCUUCACAGGAUGGGAUCUUCAGGAGUGCUUCUGUAAGUCAAGGGAACUUGUUGUCAAACAAAAAAGUGAUGAGGGACACUACUCCAGAACAGACUGAUGCUGUGCCCCAUGUAGAUGCCCUGUCGGAUGCCCAGUCUGAAACACUGGAAAAUACACCCGAUGUUGACACAUCAUUAACGCAGCCCAAACUACAUGAGGAACCAGACCCUGCUAAAGUGGGCAAUGAAGAUAAUGGGGCAGGUGUUCCCUACACUGUACCUGAAGAGCCUUUGGGCCAAAAACAUGAUAUUGACAGCAGGGAUCCUAAGAACCCCGAUUCCUGUACUCUGUCCUGA
rnacentral:lncRNA from 1 species